AGAGUUUGAUCCUGGCUCAGAAUGAACGUUGGCGGCGUGGAUUAGGCAUGCAAGUCGAGCGAGAACCCAGCAAUGGGGGACAGCGGCGAAAGGGACAGUAAUGUGUAGAUUAUCUGCCCUCAGGUCCGGGAUAGCUGCGGGAAACUGCAGGUAAUACCGGAUAACAUCUCCGGAUCAAAGGUGUGAUUCCGCCUGAGGAUGAGUCUACAUCCUAUUAGCUAGUUGGUAGGGUAACGGCCUACCAAGGCUUUGAUGGGUAGCGGGUGUGAGAGCGCGACCCGCGUCAUUGGGACUGAGACACUGCCCAGACACCUACGGGUGGCUGCAGUCGAGAAUCUUCGGCAAUGGGCGCAAGCCUGACCGAGCGACGCCGCGUGCGGGAUGAAGGCCUUCGGGUUGUAAACCGCUGUCAGAGGGGAUGAAAUGCAGGUGGGUUCUCCCAUCUGUUUGACAUAGCCUCAGAGGAAGGACGGGCUAAGUUCGUGCCAGCCGCCGCGGUAAUAC
rnacentral:rRNA from 1 species